rnacentral:lncRNA from 1 species
UUGUUUGUUUUUUGGUUGUUCAACACUUCACCACAAGAUAUAAAACGCAAAAAAAUAACAAAAACCAACAACAAAAUAUAUUUUUUUUGCAAUUUUUCUACCUAUAUAAUCCAUUAAGUGUUGCAAAUCGCACACAAGCGUGAGCAACCUACCCCAAGCUAUUGAGGUGACGCUCAAGCAAACGCAAUAAAAUAAAGUUAAUAAGCUCAGCACGCCAUUGAAAAGCAGAAUAAAGGCAAAAAAUCACAACAAACGCAAAAAUAAUAAAAAACACAACAAAAUAACAACAAAAACAAAGAAAAGCGCAACACUAAGCGGCUUUGCCACACGACGGAAAUAGCACUAUAGUGCUCGCAUGAACCCAUAGUCAACAGUUUAAGAAGACUACUUGGUGUAAAUUAUUGAUCAUCCAUACAUUAACUUCGCUUGAAACUGUAAAGAUCAAAGCAAACUACCAUAAAUAAUUGUACUGUAGGCAAAGAUCACGUAUCGGCUCACCAACGAAGCUGGCGGUCGUGCAGUAGCGAUCAUUAACGCCACCACCUCCAAACGCCAUCGCCGCCACCUCAUGGCUAGCAUCCAGCGCUGCAACAAGAUACAGAGUGACGAGCGUGCAGCGUUCGGCCAAUGUCGUUGCCGUCGUAGUCGUCAGUGUAAUCGGCGAGCGUAAUCGUGUACACGUCGGUGUCUCCAAUGCGCUGCGCGGCGUCGUCACCGUCGUCGUCGUCAACUUUACUCAAGCAACUCAUGUGCGCGUAUUGUUGUUGUUUGCUCAAGCACUUUGCGCCCAACUCCAGACAUUGUUUUUGUUGAUUUUCGACUUUUGGCACGUUGCUUGCUGUCGACGCCGCUGUUGCGGCCGCUUGCUCCAAUCGACGCUGGAGCACGUCGAGCAACUGAACAUUUUCGGCUGACUUUGUCAACAGGCAUGGCGCUCCGACGGCGCUAGUACGAAUUCAUCUACCGACGCGCGUUGUCCGUUAUAGCGGUUGUGCGGCGUUUUGUGGCGUGUGUUGGUACGUUGUGGUCAUGUUGUAGGCGAGCAAACGUAAUUUCCUAAACGAACGAGUACUUUUCUUCGCCUGCGAAUCGCAGGAAAACGCAGGAGGUUUAAAAAGUGUGUCGCGCAUGCGUUAAGAAAAAAAGUGAAUAUUGUGAAUUGCAAGUAAAUAUUUGUAUGUGAGUAAGUGGCAUGCGAAAAAGCUACCGAUUAAUGUUGUCUGGGUUUCGUGCCCUACUGUCCGGGGUGUCAUCAGUGCAACUUUGAGAAAAAAAGAAUUGCAAAAAUUAGCGAAAAGAUACGAAAUUGUCGGAUGAACUUAACGAGCGCUUUUGUAAUAACGGAAAUGUGAGCAAGUGAUUUUUGUAUAGCAGAAGGCAGUAAAUUUUCGAAAUACGCAAAAAAAAAUUGCCGAAAGAUUAAAACGAAUUCGUAACGAGCGGUAUUACAUAACGAAAGGUACAUCUGUAAGUGUGUCAAUA